AUGAACGCUGGCGGCGUGCCUAAUACAUGCAAGUCGAGCGAACGGACGAGAAGCUUGCUUCUCUGAUGUUAGCGGCGGACGGGUGAGUAACACGUGGAUAACCUACCUAUAAGACUGGGAUAACUUCGGGAAACCGGAGCUAAUACCGGAUAAUAAUUUGAACCGCAUGGUUCAAAAGUGAAAGACGGUCUUGCUGUCACUUAUAGAUGGAUCCGCGCUGCAUUAGCUAGUUGGUAAGGUAACGGCUUACCAAGGCAACGAUGCAUAGCCGACCUGAGAGGGUGAUCGGCCACACUGGAACUGAGACACGGUCCAGACUCCUACGGGAGGCAGCAGUAGGGAAUCUUCCGCAAUGGGCGAAAGCCUGACGGAGCAACGCCGCGUGAGUGAUGAAGGUCUUCGGAUCGUAAAACUCUGUUAUUAGGGAAGAACAUAUGUGUAAGUAACUGUGCACAUCUUGACGGUACCUAAUCAGAAAGCCACGGCUAACUACGUG
rnacentral:rRNA from 1 species